ACGGGAGGCAGCAGUGGGGAAUUUUGGACAAUGGGCGCAAGCUUGAUCCAGCCAUGCCGCGUGMGGGAAGAAGGCCUUCGGGUUGUAAACCGCUUUUGUCAGGGAAGAAAUCUUCUGSGUUAAUACCUCRGGAGGAUGACGGUACCUGAAGAAUAAGCACCGGCUAACUACGUGCCAGCAGCCGCGGUAAUACGUARGGYGCAAGCGUUAAUCGGAAUUACUGGGCGUAAAGCGUGCGCAGGCGGUCUUGUAAGACAGASGUGAAAUCCCCGGGCUCAACCUGGGAACUGCCUUUGWGACUGCAAGKCUWGAGUACGGCAGAGGGGGAUGGAAUUCCGCGUGUAGCAGUGAAAUGCGUAKAUAUGCGGAGGAACACCGAUGGCGAAGGCARUCCCCUGGRCCUGUACUGACGCUCAUGCRCGAAAGCGUGGGGAGCAMACASGAUUAGAUMCCCUGGUAGUCCACGCCCUAAACGAUGUCAACUGGUUGUUGGACGGCWUGCUGUUCAKUAACGUAGCUAACGCGUGAAGUUGACCGCCUGGGGAGUACGCCGCAAGGUUGAAACUCA
rnacentral:rRNA from 1 species